rnacentral:rRNA from 1 species
GUUUGUGUGAAGGUAUACAGAGUUUGGCCUGCCCACUGAAUUUUUAAAGGCCGCGGUAUUUUGACUGUGCAAAGGUAGCAUAAUAAUUAGCUUUUUAAUUGAGAGCUUGAAUGAAGGGUCGGACAAAGAAAAAGCUGUCUUUAAUAUUUUUAUUGAAUUUUACAUUUAAGUGAGAAGGCUUAAAUUAAUUUAAGGGACGAUAAGACCCUAUAAAUCUUUACAUAUCUAUUUGCUUUUUUUUUUAGUUGUGAAUUAAAUAAAAUGUGAGAUGUAUGUUAUAUUGGGGUGAUAGAGAUAUAACAAAUUAACUGUCUUUAAAAUAAAAACAAGAUUACUUGAUUUAUAAAAGAUCCUUUAUAGAGAUUAAAAGUUUAAGUUACUUUAGGGAUAACAGCGUAAUUUUUUUUGAGAGUUCUUAUCGAAAGAAGAGUUUGCGACCUCGAUGUUGAAUUAAAAAUUUUUUUAUGGUGCAGGUGCUAUAAGGGAAAGUCUGUUCGACUUUUAAAUUUUU